GACGAACGCUGGCGGCGUGCUUAACACAUGCAAGUCGAACGAGAGGCGCACGGGUGAGUAAUACGUGAGUAACAUGCCCUCUUUUUGGGAUAAGCCUUUGAAACGGGUACUAAUACCGGAUAAUGGGGUAUGGGCGCGCGGGCUGUCAGCGUGUUGGGGGGGUGGUGGCCCAUCAAGGCGGUGACGGGUAGCCGGCCUGAGGGGGUGACCGGGCACAUAGGGACGGGCAGACGGCCCAGGGUCCUAAGGAGGGGAGCAGUGGGGGAUAUUGCACAAAGGGCGAAGGCCUGAUGCAGCGAGGCCGCGUGAGGGAUGAAGGCUUUCGGGUUGUAAACCUCUUGCGCUAUCGAACGGGUAGGUGGAGAAGAAGCGCCGGCUAACUACGUGCCAGCAGCCGCGGUAAUAC
rnacentral:rRNA from 1 species